rnacentral:rRNA from 1 species
GACGAACGCUGGCGGCGCGCUUAACACAUGCAAGUCGAACGGAAAGGCCUGCUUUCCCUUGUGGAUUGCGGGUACUCGAGUGGCGAACGGGUGAGUAACACGUGAGUGAUCUGCCCCCAACUUGGGUAUAAGCCUGGGAAACUGGGUCUAAUUCCCGAUAGGACUGCAGGGUGGUGCCUGUGGUGGAAAACGAUUUUCUAGUGGUUGGGGAUGAGCUCGCGGCCUAUCAGCUUGUUGGUGGGGUAAUGGCCUACCAAGGCGGCGACGGGUAGCCGGCCUGAGGGGGUGGACGGCCACAUUGGGACUGAGAUACGGCCCAGACUCCUACGGGAGGCAGCAGUGGGGAAUAUUGCACAAGGGGCGGAAGCCUGAUGCAGCGACGCCGCGUGGGGGAUGACGGCCUUCGGGUUGUAAACUCCUUUCGACCGCGAGGAAGCCACCUGGUUGGAAGGGUGGUGACGGUAGUGGUAGAAGAAGCACCGGCUAACUACGUG